rnacentral:rRNA from 1 species
GGGGGGGGGGGGGGGGGGGCCGGGGGGGGGGGGGUGGGGCGCUGGGGGGGGGGCUGGCGUGGCUGGGUGAGUUGCGGACGGGGGAGUAGCGCGUAGGUACCCUGCCUGGUAGCGGGGGCUAACUAUUGGCAACGCUAGCUCAUACCGCGUAGUAGGCGUUGUUGCAUGCCCCCUGUUUGAACGUUCCCAUUGCACCCCUCCCAGCUGGCACUGCGUUUUAUUAGCUAGUGGGUGGGGUAACCGCUCCACAAGGCGACGAUACCUAGCCGACCUGAGGGGGUGAUCGGCCAAACUGGGACUGAGACACGGCCCAGACUCCUACGGGAGGCAGCAGUAGGGAAUCUUCGGCAAUGGACGGAAGGCUGACCGAGCAACGCCGCGUGAGUGAAGAAGGUUUUCGGAUCGUAAAGCUCUGUUGUAAGAGAAGAACGAGUGUGAGAGUGGAAAGUUCACACUGUGACGGUAUCUUACCAGAAAGAGACGGCUAACUACGUG